rnacentral:rRNA from 1 species
GACGAACGCUGGCGGCGUGCUUAACACAUGCAAGUCGAACGGUAAGGCCCUUCGGGGUACACGAGUGGCGAACGGGUGAGUAACACGUGGGUGAUCUGCCCUGCACUUCGGGAUAAGCCUGGGAAACUGGGUCUAAUACCGGAUAGGACCACUGCCUGCAUGGGUGGUGGUGGAAAGCUUUUGCGGUGUGGGAUGGGCCCGCGGCCUAUCAGCUUGUUGGUGGGGUGAUGGCCUACCAAGGCGACGAGGGGUAGCCGGCCUGAGAGGGUGACCGGCCACACUGGGACUGAGUUACGGGCCAGACUCCUACGGGAGGCAGCAGUGGGGAAUAUUGCCCAAUGGGCGCAAGCCGGAUGCAGCGACGCCGCGUGAGGGAUGACGGCCUUCGGCUUGUAAACCUCUUUCAGCACCGACGAAGCGCAAGUGACGGUAGGUGCAGAAGAAGGACCGGCCAACUACGUGCCAGCCGCCGCAGUAA